AAGACUAUACUUUCAGGGAUCAUUUCUAUAGUAUAUAUUUGUUUAAAGAAAAUAAAGAAAAACAAACUAGGAGC
rnacentral:snoRNA from 1 species